GGCAGAGGGUGCAAACGUUGUUCGGAAUUACUGGGCGUAAAGCGCGUGUAGGCUGCUCGGAAAGUCGGAUGUGAAAGCCCUGGGCUCAACCUAGGAAGUGCAUUCGAAACUUCCGAGCUAGAGUUCUGGAGAGGAAGGCGGAAUUCUCGGUGUAGAGGUGAAAUUCGUAGAUAUCGAGAGGAACACCGGUGGCGAAGGCGGCCUUCUGGACAGUGACUGACGCUGAGACGCGAAAGCGUGGGGAGCGAACAGG
rnacentral:rRNA from 1 species